ACGCAAUAGAUACCCUGGUAGUCCACGCCGUAAACGAUGAGUGCUAAGUGUUAGAGGGUUUCCGCCCUUUAGUGCUGCAGCUAACGCAUUAAGCACUCCGCCUGGGGAGUACGGUCGCAAGACUGAAACUCAAAGGAAUUGACGGGGGCCCGCACAAGCGGUGGAGCAUGUGGUUUAAUUCGAAGCAACGCGAAGAACCUUACCAGGUCUUGACAUCCUCUGACAACUCUAGAGAUAGAGCGUUCCCCUUCGGGGGACAGAGUGACAGGUGGUGCAUGGUUGUCGUCAGCUCGUGUCGUGAGAUGUUGGGUUAAGUCCCGCAACGAGCGCAACCCUUGAUCUUAGUUGCCAGCAUUUAGUUGGGCACUCUAAGGUGACUGCCGGUGACAAACCGGAGGAAGGUGGGGAUGACGUCAAAUCAUCAUGCCCCUUAUGACCUGGGCUACACACGUGCUACAAUGGAUGGUACAAAGGCUGCAAGACCGCGAGGUCAAGCCAAUCCCAUAAAA
rnacentral:rRNA from 1 species